AGAGUUUGAUCAUGGCUCAGAACGAACGCUGGCGGCGCGGCUAAGACAUGCAAGUCGAACGUACUAUGGAAUUGGGUAACCGAGACCAUGGUAAGUGGCGAAAGGGUGAGGAAUAAAUAGGUAACAUACCCCGUACUCCGGGAUAGCUGUCGUUGCCGCAAGGCAACUACCGAAAGGGGCGGUAAUACCGGAUGAUAUCGGAUUUCACAAGGAGUCCGAUCAACGAUUUAUCGGUGCGGGAUUGGCCUAUUUCCUAUCAGCUAGUUGGUGAGGUAAUGGCCCACCAAGGCGAUGACGGGUAGCGGGACUGAGAGGUUGACCCGCCACAUCGGGACUGAGACACUGCCCGGACCUCCACGGAGGGCUGCAGUAACGAAUAUUGCGCAAUGGGCGAAAGCCUGACGCAGCGACGCCGCGUGUAGGACGAAGCCCCUCGGGGUGUAAACUACUGUCAGGGGUUAGAAAGUCUGAGCAAUCAAGAUUGAUCAGCCCCAGAGGAAGUCACGGCUAACUUCGUGCCAGCAGCCGCGGUAAUACGAAGGUGGCUAGCGUUGUUCGGUGUCACUGGGCUUAAAGCGCUCGUAGGCGGAACCGUAAAGUGUCUUUGUGAAAUCCCCCGCUCAAACCGGGGAAAUGGCUUGGGCAUACCUGCGGGUUCUUGGACGGCAACAGGGGUGCAUUGGAACCUCUUGGUGGAAGCCGUGGAAUUGCUUAAUAUCAAGAGGAACCGCCCGAUGGUGAACGAACABCUGUACUGGGCUUYGUCCUGACCGCUWGAGGHGCKRARGCGCGAAAGCKWGGGRAGCCAAACRGGAUUAGAUACCCUGGUAGUCCACGCCCUUAAACGAUGUUUUACUUAGGUUGUAAGAAGGAUCUGAACGCCUUUACAGUCGGUAGCAAAAAGUGUUAAGUAACCCGCCUGGGGAAGUACGGGUCGCAAGGCUAAAAAUUCAAAAGGAAUUGACGGGGGCUCACACAAGCGGUGGGAGCAUGUGGAUUAAUUCGACGCAACGCGAAGAACCUUACCUGGGCUCGAAAUGCAGAUGACAUUCGGCGAAAGCCGGCUCCCGCAAGGGCGUCUGUAUAGGUGCUGCAUGGCUGUCGUCAGCUCGUGUCGUGAGAUGUUGGGUUAAGUCCCGCAACGAGCGCAACCCUCGUCCUCUGUUGCCAUCAGGUCAAGCUGGGCACUCUGAGGAGACUGCCGGUGAUAAACCGGAGGAAGGUGGGGAUGACGUCAAGUCAGCAUGGCCUUUAUGUCCAGGGCCACACACGUGCUACAAUGGCGGAUACAAAGCGCUGCAAACCCGCGAGGGUGAGCCAAUCGCAUAAAGUCCGUCUCAGUUCGGAUUGUAGGCUGCAACUCGCCUGCAUGAAGUUGGAAUCGCUAGUAAUCGCGGAUCAGCAUGCCGCGGUGAAUACGUUCCCGGGCCUUGUACACACCGCCCGUCACAUCACGAAAGCUGGCUGUACUAGAAGUAGUGCCGCUAACCCGCAAGGGAGGCGCAUUCCUAAGGUAUGGUCAGUGAUUGGGGUGAAGUCGUAACAAGGUAACCGUA
rnacentral:rRNA from 1 species